rnacentral:tRNA from 1 species
GUCCUUGUAGCUCAGCUGGAUAGAGCAAUCGCCUCCUAAGCGAUAGGUCGUGUGUUCAAAUCACAUCAGGGACGCCA